GCCUGUGUCCAAACCACUUGAUGUGCCCGAUCUCAUCAGAUAUCGGAAACUUAUCAGGUUUGAGGCAGCGUAGUGCUUGGAUGGGUGACCACACGCAUAAAACAGAUGCUAUAGGCU
rnacentral:rRNA from 1 species